rnacentral:rRNA from 1 species
UACGUAGGGUGCGAGCGUUGUCCGGAAUUACUGGGCGUAAAGAGCUCGUAGGCGGCUUGUCGCGUCGUCCGUGAAAACUUGGGGCUCAACCCCAAGCUUGCGGUCGAUACGGGCAGGCUAGAGUUCGGUAGGGGAGACUGGAAUUCCUGGUGUAGCGGUGAAAUGCGCAGAUAUCAGGAGGAACACCGGUGGCGAAGGCGGGUCUCUGGGCCGAUACUGACGCUGAGGAGCGAAAGCGUGGGGAGCGAACAGG